AACAAAACUCCUCCCAUUUACCAAAUUUGCUACUUCGUUUGUAAUCUUAAAUUCUUAGAAAUUGACUCACUCAAUUUAGAUCCUUCAUUCAGGAAAUUUAAUCACGAACUUCUUGAUAGAUUUAUUUUUAAACUUGCACUGAUCAUUAGAAACAAGCAAGAAAAUGAGUUGUCUAAGCUUUAUUUUACUAGGAGCCGUUUGUUUUAUUUUGGCACCUGAAGCAAUGGCUCUGGAGUGUUCACAGAUGGGAUUAACAUCUAUGACUUGUCCUUUACCACUUGUGAAUGAUGACGAUGAAAUAUUUUGUUGCGAAACUUCUGCAAAAGGUCUGCAUAAAUGUUGUGACAUUGAAGAGUUCAUGAAACAAAACUCUGGUAUAUUGGCUGGUAUAGUAAUUGCUGCUGUGGUGAUUUUCUUGAUCAUUACUUUGUGCUGCUGCUGUUUCUGCAGUUGCUGUUGUUUGGCCAAACGUCGAGUUCAAAGAGGACAUGUUCUUUAUGGUUAGUUGCAUCUGUGUAUUGGUUUAGGAAGUAACCUGUAACUUAUCUUUUGAAUCUUUUCUCAGAAAUUUAGGUCCUGUUGGUGGUGCACAAGUAGUCACAACUCCCAUUCCUAAUACCUUUCAAGUAGUCCAUCCACCGCCCGCUACUCAAGCUUAUAGUCCGCCUCCUUACAAUCCAAACUAUGCUGCCUCACAGCCUGCUGUAAAUCCUUACUACAAAUGAUUUGACACUAGUCAAACCUGUGAUUUAAAAACCAAAUUUUCCUGUUUUUAACUGUGGUACUGUCAAAGUGUAUUUUCUCCCUUUAUAGUGUCCUUCCUCCUACUUUCUGUUGUGUAUGGGUUAUUUUUUUUUUUCAUACAUAACUGAACAAACUAACUGGAUGAUGGUGUAUACUGAUAUUUUUAUUUUUUGGUAACUAUUUUUGAUGAACUGUUAAAGCAAAAUAUUUACAAUGGUAUUGAUCAAGAUGCUCAGUAAUUGUUUUCCUAAGCAAUGCCAAUUUUUUUUUUUAUCUGUCAUUUGCUAAACCAUUGUUGCAACUUUCAGUUGCCAAAUGUAUGGUUAGAAAAACCUCUUAUGGUGAAAGUUCUAAAACAUUUGUUUUAUAAUUGAUAUUAGAUAAUUGUUAAUUAUAUUCUUUUAUCAUUGAAACAUUAGCUUAUUUUGAUAUUUAUUAUAGUUAUUUAACUAUGGUUAUUAAUAGACACCUGAAUGGCUGUCACUUUUCCGUAAUUUGCGGAAGUGUUGCAUAUUAGAGGUUUAUACCAAGUUUCCUGCUUUACCAUAUGUAUGAUUAAUCAUCACUAUACACAGUGAUUAAGUAAUUCAAUAAAGUAAGUGUAUGUGCCUUUUGAAAAAUAUGAAAAUAAUUCAUUAAAGUAAAAUUCUUAAACUUUACAAUUUAUUAUUUUUGAUGUAUAAAAAAAAAAUUAUCCUAUUCGGUGAUAAAAAAAAUUGGUGUUAAGAUUACUGAGUGAAGAAAAAGAUUUCAAGCAAAACAUUAAUAUCCAUACAUUACUAUAAUCCUUCUCUUCAGUAAAAAGUUUCUUAUUGUUAAGCAUCUUUAAAAUCAACGUUUUGGAAAUAUUUACUUUAGAAGUGACUUUUAAAAUAGGCUAUACUUUGUCACAUUCUGAGAUAAUACUCCCAAGCUUUCCCUUUUUUUUUAUGAAAUGGUUAUUCUGAAGUUUUGCUUUAUAAACAAAUUACAGAGCUGCCAACUGCUCGGUAUUUUUAACGUUUGAAGUCAAAGUAAAAUUUAUGCUUUUACAUGGUGCAUAGCGUUUUUUAAAGGUGCUUAUUUUAGUUUUUUAAAAGCCCUUAAAGGUGCUUUUUUAUUGGAGUGUUUUUAAAGAGUACUUAAUUUUCCCUUUUCGAAGAUGAGAUUUUUUUUUUCCUUUCCCAAGUCUAUUUUUGCUAAGUAUUAUGCAAAAUCCCUGUUUUCACAUUGUUCUAUUCAACGUUUUCACAAUUCAUUCAACCACAAUCCAUUUUGGCAUGUCGUCGGUCCAUAGCGUAUGAUAGCGCCAAUCAUGUUACAUGCUUAAUGAAAUACUUGGGAGUGACUACUGAGCGCUGGAUUCAGUGAGAUUCUUGCACUCUUGUGUACAACUGUGCUGCAUUUUGCAAGAUAUUCUCAAUUUCCAGCUGCAUUUUCCAUCCUCUGAAAUCGAAACAAAAAAAUCUCUCUGAAGUACUUAAAAGGUGGUUUUUUUUUUUUUUUUUGAGAGAGAGAGAGAGAGAUUUGGCUAUGCACCCUGUUUUAUUUAUUUUAAACUUUAUUAAAAACUUUCUUACUACUGACAACAGCAUUACAGGCUUCAACUUAAAGCUUAUAUAAGGGACCUGAUAAUCACUCAAUAAGUUUUUAAACCCCUACCACUUUUUAUUUGCUAUGAACUUCAGAGUUUGCAACUCUGUAAAGAUGCCCUUUCUGCAUUUUUGAAAAUCGAGGUUGACAUCAGCAUAAAUAUCCUCUUUUUUUUACUUCCUUAACACUUUAAAACAAUUCAUGUUUUAUCUUCCUUUAUUGAUGAUACAAAGUUGUAGUUAAAUAACAUGUGCCUUAUUCUUUAUAAUUGGGUAUAAGAUGACCUAUGUCGCACUUCACUUUUCCAGAAUAUUAUUGCCCAGUAAAAACCAGCCUCUUUUGCGAGGUAACCUGUUUUUAUUAAUAGAAUCAUCUUUUUAGUGGGAAUGGUUGAAGUUGUGCUUCAUAUUAUACCCAAUUACUGUGCCUUAUUAAUUUUUGCCUAUGCAAAUUUUAUGCAAGUAAAAAUUCAUCGUAUACUAUUCCUAAAUUUUUACAUAAGUAUUGAAUAGUUUUUUCUUAGACUUUCAAUAUUAAUCUUUGAGAGGUUAAAAGAAAUUUAUAAAUUAUUAUUUUACUAAUUUUUAAAUGAUUACCAUUAGGACUCACUUUUAUGCUAUUAAAUUUUGUAUAUUGUGCACUUAUUUAAUUAAGAAAUAACAUAUUUCCCAACUUUUUUGUUUAAUUAAAUUUAAAUAAAUUUUUUUAUUGCCUCAUUGCGUUGUGAAAACAAGCUGUAGUUAAUAGAUUAUAAUAAUAUAUUAGUUAAAAAUAGGAUAUAAAAUUAGGGAGAAAAUAUAUACACUGCAUGAAAUGCACUAUAUUGAAAGUUGUAAUAGCACUUUCAUAGAUGAACAAUAUAUUUUGGCUGUUAGCAAAGUUUGGAUCUGAUUAAAACUCAAAUGUGUAUAUUUGUAUUUUUAAUUCACUUUUAUGUAUUUACAAGUAAAUAGGCACUUUUACAUAAAAUAUUGAUUAAGAUUUAAUAUUGUUUUUUAGAAUUUACAUGUCUUCUGUAUGUGUAAUAAUAUUUUUAAAGGCAAAAAGUGGUUACCAUUACAGCAUAUGUAAAAUUACAAUUGAUGUACUAAGACCAGGUUUUUGAGCUUUAUUAUUAGAAGUUUACAGAUUCAAAUAGCACUUUUUCUGUAUCGAAAUGUUUUGUAACGUUAGUAUAACAAUACUGUAUAAGUUAGGUUGCAAUAAUUUUCCUAAGAAUAUGCAAAAUUUUUGAAAUAUAUAAAUCAUUGUACUUUUAUAAUACAUUUUUGAAAGCUACUGAAUUUUUUUAUUUUCAUUUAAAUACUAAAUAUUUUUUAUUCCAGAAUCUUAUUUUCCAUGAUCUGAAAUAAAAAUGUCUGUGAUAUUUAGUGGUUUUCCUAGUAAUAAAGCUCAAAACAUAUGAAAUUUAUUCUUGUUUUCUCUUAUAAUUUCAAUUUAUAAAGAAUUAUAUAAAUUACAAAUUUUUAAGAUCAAAUUUCAAAUAUUAAUUAUAAAUUAUUAUAAUCAAUUCUAUGAUCAAAUUUGGAAAUGACAUUAGAGUAUCUCACUACAGUGCCAAAUUAUUGUGCUAUAAAAUUGAAAGCGGGCAAAUUGCUCACAAGAUGGAAUUCAGUAACAUUCCUUUUUUAUGUUCACUAUUUGACUGAUUAACUUUUCAUUGUAUUAUUAGAAUCUUGUUGAUAAAAUCAUGUCAACACAUAAAUCGCAGAGCUUUGCUAUUUAGAACCGCUAUUUGUCAUCAAUAUUAUUUUUCAUUGUGUUCUGUAUAUUUUUGGUCUUAGUAAAUGUUUAAACAAUAAAAUUGAUUGUUUUUUGUUA